rnacentral:lncRNA from 1 species
GGGGCCUCCCUGCGUGGCUACGCAGGACUCUGAUAGGUGGUCCUGGGCCACAGGGUAGCUAGCGCGUCUCACGAGCUCCGGAAAGGGCUCUGAGGUGUCCCGCGCGCCCUAGGGAAGGAAUGGGGGAGGUGUGGAGGAGAUAGUGGCAAUGUGGGCAAGUGACUGAAUGUCAAAAGUAAAAAGGUUGAAAAGGCAAUUUUCCUGACGCGCUUUGCCCCCCUCAUUUCUCCUCUCCCUGGAACUCCCGCCCGGGCUGUAAAUCUGCGGCCGGUGGCCAGGACACUGGAAGUCCCCUCGGCGGACCCGAAGCGGCCCCGCCCGCAGAGAGCACACCUCCCGGUGGGCUCCGCAUCGAUCCGACGCCUAGCUGAGGAUGUCACCGCACUAAAUAUUUACUGAUCACACACAAAUAGCCAGAGCUCGAACGAUUUUCCUCUGUGAGGAGAGCGCAGAGAGCAGGGUAAAUCAUUUUAUUAGUGUGGAUAAAGCCCAGAGCACACUCCGGGCUGGAGUGUUUUAAGAUGUGUCUUCAACGGGAUGAAAAGAGUUAGGGAAAUCGAUACGGAGUGAUUAGAAGCCCCCGGGGUGACGAAGGGGGACCUGACUAGUCGGGAUUUGGCGGGGCCGAGAGGAAGGAAGCCAGCUCCAAGGGGGACUGCCGGACCAUCGCCAGGGAGCUCAAGCGCAGGCCUCGGUCCCUCUGCCCUCGACGGAAAAGGUGGCAGCGCAGCCAGAGAUAGGACUCUGCUGCCUGGCUUUGCAAAUAGGGCUGAGGCGGCCGCCGCGGGCCGAAGGCUUGGGAGCACAUCCGCUGUACACCCGAGUGGGAUGACCAGGUGGCCACCGGAGUUGAUGGCUUAUGCGAAGCAAGACAAGAACAUGUAGUCUGGCGAGGCAGCCUAGGUAGCCAAGGUGUGGCUCCGAUGGAUUGCUUUCUUCCCUUGCCAUUUUGGAGACUCCUUUUAGGUGCCACUCCAGGCUUUUACAACUUUCUUCUCAAUCAACCUCCAUCUCUCGUCUUAUUUAGCAUCUCUAAAGAGGACCCAGUAGCCCAGCUCCAUCAAUGGCUUGGCUUUCCAUGCUAUCUGCCCAGUGUCCAGGGCGGCCACCGGGUGGCGAGACACCCCCCCCCCCCCGUGGAAUUUGCAGAACAGUGGAUUCUAGGUUCGCGGCUCAGCUCUCAGGCAGGUGGAACGAAGUCUAAGGCCAUGGAUUAAGGCAGGGGCACCAAAGGAAGUCGGAGGGCUGCGGGUUUUCUCAGCGAGAGGGAAUCAGCUUUAGCAGGAUCAGGUCCCACCCCAGCCAGUGGGGACCUGUCUAGGACCCAAAGAUUAGAUACUGGAAACUAAAGUGAAGUUCACGGGGCGUUAGGUAAAAUUUACUGGAAGUU